rnacentral:tRNA from 1 species
GGUCGAUUAGCUCAGUUGGUUAGAGCGUAAGUUGAGCCGCAACGUCAAGAUAUUUCCAACAACGUCUGACAAGGUUCCAGGUGGUGCUAAUAGUCAAUGUUAACGCCAAGGUCGCGGGUUCGACCCCCUCAUUGACCA